GUGCUUGCUUCAGUAGCACACAUAUUAAAAUUGAACGAUAUGGAGAAGAUCAGUGUGGCCCCUGCACAAGGAAGACACACAAAUUCGUGCAGUGUUCCAUAUUUUC